UCCGAAUUGGUGUAGUGGCUAACAUUUGACGCUCUCAAGCUAUUGUGACCCGUCAAGCCCGGGGUUCGAUUCCCCGAUUCGGAG
rnacentral:tRNA from 2 species